AACGAACGCUGGCGGCAUGCCUAACACAUGCAAGUCGAACGAUGCCUUCGGGCAUAGUGGCGCACGGGUGCGUAACGCGUGGGAAUCUGCCUUUCGGUUCGGAAUAACUCAGGGAAACUUGAGCUAAUACCGGAUAACGUCGCAAGACCAAAGAUUUAUCACCGAAAGAUGAGCCCGCGUAGGAUUAGCUAGUUGGUGAGGUAAAGGCUCACCAAGGCGACGAUCCUUAGCUGGUCUGAGAGGAUGAUCAGCCGCACUGGGACUGAGACACGGCCCAGACUCCUACGGGAGGCAGCAGUGGGGAAUAUUGGACAAUGGGCGAAAGCCUGAUCCAGCAAUGCCGCGUGAGUGAUGAAGGCCUUAGGGUUGUAAAGCUCUUUUACCCGGGAAGAUAAUGACGGUACCGGGAGAAUAAGCCCCGGCUAACUCCGUG
rnacentral:rRNA from 1 species